UCUGGGUGUGGUGGUGCACACCUGUAAUCCCAGCUAUUCGGGAGGCUGAAGUAGGAGAAUUGCAAGUUCAAGACCAACCUGGAGAACUUAGUGAGAUCCUGUCUUAA
rnacentral:sRNA from 1 species